GUAGGUGGCAAGCGUUGUCCGGAAUUAUUGGGCGUAAAGCGCGCGCAGGCGGUCCUUUAAGUCUGAUGUGAAAGCCCACGGCUCAACCGUGGAGGGUCAUUGGAAACUGGGGGACUUGAGUACAGAAGAGGAAAGCGGAAUUCCAAGUGUAGCGGUGAAAUGCGUAGAGAUUUGGAGGAACACCAGUGGCGAAGGCGGCUUUCUGGUCUGUAACUGACGCUGAGGCGCGAAAGCGUGGGGAGCGAACAGGGAUUAGAUACCCUGGUAGUCCACGCCGUAAACGAUGAGUGCUAAGUGUUAGGGGGUUUCCCGCCCCUUAGUGCUGCAGCUAACGCAUUAAGCACUCCGCCUGGGGAUACGGCCGCAAGGCUG
rnacentral:rRNA from 1 species